rnacentral:rRNA from 1 species
GGUGAGUAACACGUAUCCAACCUGCCCUUUACUCGGGGAUAGCCUUUCGAAAGAAAGAUUAAUACCCGAUGGCAUAAUGAUUCCGCAUGGUUUCAUUAUUAAAGGAUUCCGGUAAAGGAUGGGGAUGCGUUCCAUUAGGUUGUUGGUGAGGUAACGGCUCACCAAGCCUUCGAUGGAUAGGGGUUCUGAGAGGAAGGUCCCCCACAUUGGAACUGAGACACGGUCCAAACUCCUACGGGAGGCAGCAGUGAGGAAUAUUGGUCAAUGGGCGCUAGCCUGAACCAGCCAAGUAGCGUGAAGGAUGAAGGCUCUAUGGGUCGUAAACUUCUUUUAUAUAAGAAUAAAGUGCAGUAUGUAUACUGUUUUGUAUGUAUUAUAUGAAUAAGGAUCGGCUAACUCCGUGCCAGCAGCCGCGGUAAUACGGAGGAUCCGAGCGUUAUCCGGAUUUAUUGGGUUUAAAGGGAGCGUAGGUGGACUGGUAAGUCAGUUGUGAAAGUUUGCGGCUCAACCGUAAAAUUGCAGUUGAUACUGUCAGUCUUGAGUACAGUAGAGGUGGGCGGAAUUCGUGGUGUAGCGGUGAAAUGCUUAGAUAUCACGAAGAACUCCGAUUGCGAAGGCAGCUCACUGGACUGCAACUGACACUGAUGCUCGAAAGUGUGGGUAUCAAACAGGAUUAGAUACCCUGGUAGUCCACACAGUAAACGAUGAAUACUCGCUGUUUGCGAUAUACAGUAAGCGGCCAAGCGAAAGCAUUAAGUAUUCCACCUGGGGAGUACGCCGGCAACGGUGAAACUCAAAGGAAUUGACGGGGGCCCGCACAAGCGGAGGAACAUGUGGUUUAAUUCGAUGAUACGCGAGGAACCUUACCCGGGCUUAAAUUGCAGUGGAAUGAUGUGGAAACAUGUCAGUGAGCAAUCACCGCUGUGAAGGUGCUGCAUGGUUGUCGUCAGCUCGUGCCGUGAGGUGUCGGCUUAAGUGCCAUAACGAGCGCAACCCUUAUCUUCAGUUACUAACAGGUCAUGCUGAGGACUCUGGAGAGACUGCCGUCGUAAGAUGUGAGGAAGGUGGGGAUGACGUCAAAUCAGCACGGCCCUUACGUCCGGGGCUACACACGUGUUACAAUGGGGGGUACAGAAGGCAGCUAGCGGGUGACCGUAUGCUAAUCCCAAAAUCCUCUCUCAGUUCGGAUCGAAGUCUGCAACCCGACUUCGUGAAGCUGGAUUCGCUAGUAAUCGCGCAUCAGCCACGGCGCGGUGAAUACGUUCCCGGGCCUUGUACACACCGCCCGUCAAGCCAUGGGAGCCGGGGGUACCUGAAGUACGUAACCGCAAGGAUCGUCCUAGGGUAAAACUGGUGACUG